AAUGAAUGAAAUGAACCGUUUCGUUAAUCUGAGUGAAACCCAGCAUCGCUAGUUAUCUGAGGAAACGUCUCGAGGGCAAAAACUGCUAGAACACGACCUCGCGACGCCACUUCCCGCGCUUUUUAGUUAACGCUCCCUUUGACGACGCGUCUUCAGUUUGGACUCGCGUCACUGAGGGCUGUCAUUACCGCACACGACCCCCUCCAGCCUCAGCGGAUCAGGAGAGGAGGGGAGAGGUGGGGAAGGGGGGGAAACCGUGCCAACCGCAGAAACCGACAGCGCAAGAGCGCGCCAGUACACGGGUGAGCGGCAGGAAGCGGUUGGCGCGCUUUUCCUCAGAACGUUCACUGUGGGGAAAACGCAGCGAGGCGCGAGGAUGCGCGCGGACUGCCCGGCGCUCGAGCUCCUGUGUGUUUUCGCCGUGCUGGUCUCAGGCAGCCGCGGCGCGCGAGUCGUGAGCGGUCAGACGGUGUGUGAGGGUGGCCCUGAGCAGCCAUGCUAUAAGAUUGCCUACUUCAGAGACAUGGCGAGCCGCGUGGCCUUUGGGGAGGCUCUGCGGGCGUGCGAGGUGGACGGCGGCUCAUUGUUGAGUGUGGAGAGUGCAGCGGAGCAGAAGCACAUUGAGAGUCUGCUGCAGAAGCUCAGUGGUUCCUCCACAGGCAGUGUUCCAGGCACAGGACCCUCCAUCGCUGAUGGAGAUUUCUGGAUCGGCCUCACCCGCACUGACAGCGACAGCCCCCAGGAGCAUGGGAGCUUCACCUCCUGCCCUGACCUCUACAGAUGGACAGAUGGCAGCGUCUCACAGUUCAGGAACUGGUAUUAUGAUGAGCCAUCAUGUGGAGGAGAGGCUUGUGUAGUCAUGUACCAUCAGCCCACUGCUCUCCACGGCCUGGGAGGAGCAUACCUUUAUCAGUGGAACGAUGACAGGUGCAACAUGAAGCACAAUUUCAUCUGCAAGUAUGAGCCAGAGAGCCAUCUGGUGAAAGCACAUGGAGACAGGCCUGGAGGUCGUGAUGCAGGCCUACCAGAUCUUUCAACAGAACAUGAAGAAGAGAACAAAACACCUGCUGUUAAUGAGGAUGAACGCUUUCAUGUCAUGGUGGCAGGACCCUCAAGUAUGCUGCUGAUUUAUGUUAUCAUACCUACCAUUCCUCUACUGCUGUUGAUCCUUGUGGCCUCAGGGACCUGCUGCUUCCAGAUGCUGAGCAAGAGGCGCAGCACUCCCGAGAGCCUGUGCUCAUGACCGCUCUGCAUGGCCGUGCCUCCCGUGCUUCCACAGCAGCAUGGCCUAGUAAAAACCACGGACCAAAACGAGUGUGAAUCAAUCAACACUCUGGAUCUCAAAGACGCCAAAGUCAGACAGCGCGAUGGAGGUCUAAAAAAGAGAAAACUCACAUCUUCCCAUAUUGAAAGGGAGCCCUGCUGUGGCCCACCCAGACGGUCUAUACGGUCUACAUUCUUGUUUGUCCAGUUGUAAGUUGUAUGUGGUCUUCUAACGCAAGGUGAUAUGCAUCUCAGUGUAAACACUUUGGUACACUUCACUCUUCUGCAAUCUUUUUCCAAGAAAGCCCUUGCUCUUUUGGGCCAAAAUGAACCUUUGUUGAUUAUUUAAAUGAUUUCAGUUUCUUUUUUUUCACCCCAAAACAUCUUAAUAGAACUUGCAUUCCUUCAGUCUCCUCCUCUCACUCUCCUCUCCAUCAGAGAGAGUGAUCAGUGCAGUCAGUUGCAGAGGGGAGGCCACCAGUAAUUGGCUCCAAAACACAGAGCGAUUAAGUUACUGUAAUUAAGACAAGUGCGAAUGGGACUCACAUAAAAAGAGGACUGCAGAGUCCCAGCUGACACUAAAUUGAGUAAAAAUGAUUGAAGACUGCAACAAAAUGAAUUAAGCAGUGACAAAAUGGCAAAAAGAAAAUCCCCAGAGAACAAAACAAAGUCUUUAAUCGGAAAAAAAUAAGUUGACAUUUUAGAAAAUAGAGCAGAGUUAGAUCAAUCGCUCUAGAACUGGGUUCCAGACCUCUUUCCACACAAGCUCCAUCACCUUUAAAAAAACACAGCUAUUCUCAUUGAUGCAGGACUGUUUCAUUACCUUCAAGUAAACAGAACCACUAUUAGAAUGGACUUGUGCCAUUACAUUAGUUCUGCCUAAGUGAACAUGUGGAUAUUUUUAUAUGAUCUGUUUCAUGUGCUGCCAAACCCACAUUUCAUAUCACUAUUAUAUAUGCAGUUUUAGCAUGUAAUGCCAUUUUUAUUAUGACAUAGUUAGUAAUAUUUAUCACAGUACUCAUGACCAUUAAAAACUGCAUAUAUAAAACCGACAAAUCCCUGUGAUUUGAAAAGUAUGUCAUAUAAAAUGGGAUAAACUGCAUCGUAUUAAUGUGUUGAUUCAAAUUUGUGCUAGUAAUCUGCUUGUAAAUGAAGGUAAACACGGUUCAUAAGAGUG